UACGGGGGGUGCGAGCGUUGUCCGGAAUCACUGGGCGUAAAGGGCGCGUAGGUGGUCUGGUAAGGGUGUGGUGAAAGCCCGGGGCUCGACCCCGGGUCGGCCGUGCCGACUGUCAGACUAGAGUGCUGUAGGGGCAGGCGGAAUUCCGGGUGUAGCGGUGGAAUGCGUAGAGAUCCGGAGGAAGACCGGUGGCGAAGGCGGCCUGCUGGGCAGAUACUGACACUGAGGCGCGACAGCGUGGGGAGCAAACAGG
rnacentral:rRNA from 1 species